rnacentral:ncRNA from 1 species
AUUCAUACGAUGAUCAAGAAGAGUAUGUAAGCUCAAAUGUUUUAGAGAGAAAAUGAUCUGCUGCAACAUUUUCACUUUGACUUACAGAAGGUAGCUUGGGAGUUUGCGUUUUGAAAUCAGUAGGAACGCACGGCACAUGACCGUUAACACAUGCUUGAGCGGCAGAAAAUUUUUCUGCAAUUUAGGUGGUACCGCGUAAUUUACGUCCUAAAA